GCUCUUUCGAGGAGUAUAUGAUAAAAUUGAAACGAUACAGAGAAGAUUAACAUGACCCUACAGAAGGAUGACAUUCGCCAUUCUAACUUGCUGAAAUUCAUA
rfam:Nicotiana sylvestris Nsyl_contig2124, whole genome shotgun sequence.